CCUCUCCCAGUGCAGGAGAAGAUUUGGGUUUUGAGCCCUGAGUUAAAGCGCAGCACACUACGGGUGACUGACAGGACAACUGGAUUGCUUCUUGAAACCCAACACACUGGCUUAUGAUUCCUUCCCUUACACCUUUUUAUACUCCCUAAGUGCACCUCAGUUUUAACUAUGACUCUAUCACUGUUAAAUUAUUUAAUUAUUUGUGUACCUUGAUUAAAGUAUAAGCUCUUGGUUCUUACAAUUUUAACUUAAAAACUAUUGAAAGCAAUAUCUUGAAAAAUUCCUUGCAAAGGAAAAAAAGCAAGUAUCUCUUUGAAUAAAACCUUACCGCUUGUUUUAGUUUCUGACAUGCCAGUGUGGCUGUACAAUUAGCAUUUCUCCAAAUAACUAAAUCUCAGGAGGUAAAAUGAUGCAGCUUAGGAAGGAUGGCUGAUAUCACAGUAUUGCAUGUUGUUGCACAGCACUUUGUAGUCCCCUUUCCACUUAACAAAGAAGCAUUUCAAGGGUUUUCAUAACAUCAUGACAGAAAGACUUCUGAACUCGAAGAGCACUAAACUUUUUUCUGAAGUAAAAGGUUUUUACAAAUUGCAAUACGGAUUGAAGUAUGAUAUCUAUAAAAAUAAACAAAAUAAUAUGAUUUAAAGCAUCUUAUCAUUACUUUGUGGCUUUUGUUCAGUCCUCCAGAUUACUUGUGGUCCAGACACUGUCAAAUUAGACUAAAGCAUUAGAACUCCGGGAAAAAAAAUGCUGUAGCAGCAACCAGAAAAAAUGUCACAAAAGCACAGGAUGUAAGAAGGCUGAGGUAACAAGCAUGCAUGGGAUCAAGCCUUUUAAAAUACAAGCCUGUAUUCCAUCAAGCACUGAUUAUUGCCUCCACAUUUUAGGCUAUCUACACUGCACAGGGAAACUGUUAGCACCUUUCCAGGAAAGUGGGCUUAAAGAAAUGUGAUAUCCUUGGCAAAACUUUUACAGUAUAAAUAGAAGUGAAUCCCUGGCUUUCAAAUCAAUGUGGGCAAAUUUUAAUGUCUAAAGCUCUAAAUCUGCAAAUGACUAUAGAUUUGUUUAACUUACUUAUUCAAAGCAAGAUGCCUGUUGACCUUAUUUAUGAGUGUGGAAGUUAACAUGAACAUAGUAUAGGAAUUAAUUGAAAGUACUCUUAUCUUAAGGUCACUAGCCAGAAAAAGCAGAAAAUACUUCUGAAAGAUAUUAAAUCUAAAGAACAUGUAAAUUUUUCACUUUUGAGGCAUCAAACACUACAUAUCUUGAGAGUGAAUUCAUUUGUGAAAAAAAGCCCUACAAAAUAAUGAGAGUUUCAAAAAGUUUUCCCUUUUGCUUUCAGGAGCGCUACUUUUUAGUUAUUGUAUACAGAGAAUCACACAGAAUCACAGAACUGUAGGGGUUGGAAGGGACCUCCGGAGAUCAUGAAGUCCAGCUAAGAUUCCGUUGUUUUUGUAAUGCUACGGUCAGUACUAAAUAGGACAUCCUAGAUGAUCCUACCUUAUCGGUAUUGUAGACACUCUCAUGGUAGGAUAGUUGGCAGGUUAUGAAGGCUUUGGAGUUAAGUAGAAUGAGGUCGCUUCCAAGCCAUCGUGCAUCACUUGAUCUGAGGAAAAACUGUAGGGAGAAAAAAAAAACAACAAAAAAACAAACCCUCAACCUCAUACAGUGGAGAUAUACUGGUAAUAAAUAUACACACUUUAUCAUUUAUAGCUAUACUGAUAAACAAAACAAGCUGCAUUAGAAAUGAUAGAGUAGUGCUAUGGUUGUUUUUUUUUUUCCUUUUGACUUUGUCCAUUAAUAUGGAAAGAUGCAUACAUAUCUGCAACAGAAUUAAUCUGGCUUAAAGAUAUAAUACACAAAAUGAUAUGUCAUGAUAGCACAUUUUAAAUGCCCUACAUUGAAUAUUUUCAGACCUUCGAUUGUCAAAUACUUAAAUAUUUACCAGAAAAAAGAAACACAGGCACAAAAUCAAAGUGUACUGCAAUCAGGCUUGCUCUUCUCCUUUGUCUUUCACCUUGAGAAGAAUCCACAGACUUGAGGGCUUGGGGCCACAAGUUGAACUCAGAUUUCUGUGCUAGAAAUAUGCUGAAAAUUGUUGCCUGUACAAUAAAUUGACUGGCUUCAGACCCUUCAGUGCAAGCUGCUGAUCAGUUUAAACAUAGCUUUGCCUAAUGUUACUGCUAUGGCUUGGGAACAAAUUUAAGCUGCAUGUAUGGAGCAGAUGUUUGCCCAAAGAAAUUUUUAUGUUUCAAGUGUAUUCAGUUUUCUGGAGUUCUGUACAAUGUGGUAUGUAAAUAAAUACCC
ensembl:lncRNA